AAAGUUAAACAGUACGUGAAAUUGUUGAAAGGGAAACGAUUAAAGUCAGUCGUACUGACGGGGAAUCAACCUCUCGAUCGUGGUUUAGCGGGGUCAAAGAGUCUUUGUUCUCGCGAUAUCCGCUUUCUUUUGGUGCACUUUCUCGUAUUGUAGGUUAGCAUCGGUUUUGAUUGUCAUAAAAUGAUCGGAGGAAUGUGGCUUCGGCUUCGGUUGAAGUGUUUAUAGACUCUGGUAGAUGUAAUGGUCGAGACCGAGGAUUGCAACGGAUACCCUCAAGGGCUAUCCGCCUGACCUCUGAUUUGUCACUUUGGCGUCGAAAGCUUGCUUACGAUGUUAAAGUGUGCGGUCAACAGGCUAGAGCGGAUUAAAUUCGUUAAGGAUGCUGACGUAAUGGCUUUAAACGA
rnacentral:misc_RNA from 1 species